rnacentral:rRNA from 1 species
GAUGAACGCUGGCGGCGUGCCUAAUACAUGCAAGUCGAGCGAACGGACGAGAAGCUUGCUUCUCUGAUGUUAGCGGCGGACGGGUGAGUAACACGUGGAUAACCUACCUAUAAGACUGGGAUAACUUCGGGAAACCGGAGCUAAUACCGGAUAAUAUUUUGAACCGCAUGGUUCAAAAGUGAAAGACGGUCUUGCUGUCACUUAUAGAUGGAUCCGCGCUGCAUUAGCUAGUUGGUAAGGUAACGGCUUACCAAGGCAACGAUGCAUAGCCGACCUGAGAGGGUGAUCGGCCACACUGGAAGGGAGACACGGUCCAGACUCCUACGGGAGGCAGCAGUAGGGAAUCUUCCGCAAUGGGCGAAAGCCUGACGGAGCAACGCCGCGUGAGUGAUGAAGGUCUUCGGAUCGUAAAACUCUGUUAUUAGGGAAGAACAUAUGUGUAAGUAACUGUGCACAUCUUGACGGUACCUAAUCAGAAAGCCACGGCUAACUACGUG